GCUGGGUGCAGUGGCGCACGUCUGUAAUCCCAGCUGCCUGGGAGGCUUGAGGUAGGAGGAUCACAAGUUCAAAGCCAGCCUCGCAACUUAGCGAGGCCCUAAGCAACUCAGCUAGACCCUGUCUCUA
rnacentral:sRNA from 1 species